UUUUUUUUUUUGUCUUUUUGCCAUUUCUUGGGCCACUCCCGCAGCAUAUGGAGGUUCCCAGGCUAGGGGUCUAAUUGGAGCUGUAGCUGCUAGCCUACGCCAGAGCCACAGCAACACGGGAUCCAAGGCAUGUCUGCAACCUACACCACAGCUCACAGCAAUGCCAGAUCCUUAACCCACUGAGCAAGGGCAGGGAUCAAACCUGCAACCUCAUGGUUCCUAGUUGGAUUUGUUAACCACUGCACCACGAUGGGAACUCCUUUUUUGUUGUUGUUGUUGUUUCGUUUUUUUGUUUUUUUGGAAAAUUUUUUUAUGAUUAAAGCCAAACUUAUGUAACUCUAAUUUUUAAAUGAGUUUUUUUUAAACAUACAGUAUGUUUUAAAAGUAGAAAAUGUGCUAGUGAGAAAUUAAAAUAUGAAAGAUACAAUAAAAGCUGGAGUAAGGCUAAUUAAUACAUGUCAUAAAAACUUGUGCAUCUCCUAGGGAUGAGCCCCAACUUAAUUUUCUCUAAUAAUGCACUUUUUUUUUUUAAGGGACACACCUGCAGCACAUGGAAGUUGCCAGGUCAGGGGUCAAAUAUAGCUACAGCUGCCGGCAUUUACCAUAGCCACAGCAAUUCAGGAUCUGAGCCACAUCUGCAACCUACACUGCAGCUUGUGGCAAUGCCACAUCCUUACCCAACUGAGGGGGCCAGGGAUCAAACCUGCAUUCUCAGGGAUACUAGUCAGACUUGUUACAGCUAAGCCUCAACAGGAACUCCUCUAAUAAGGUAAUUUUUAAAAGAACUUUUAGCCAUAAAUCUUGUUCUCAGAAAAAUAUGCUUCUAUGAUUGCAAUUAGUACUUUGUGUCUAAAAAAGUGUCCUGGGAGUUCCCAUCAUGGCUCAUCGGAAAUGAAUCUAACAUCCAUAAGGAUGCAGAUUUCAUCCCUGGCCUAGCUCAGUGAGCUAAGGAUCCAGUCUUGCCUUGAUCUGUGAUGUAGGUCACAGAUGUGGCUCGGACCCGGCAUUGUUGUAGCUGUGGUGUAGGCUAGCAGCUACAGCUCCAAUUUGACCCCUAGCCUGGGAACUUUCAUAUGCCGCAGGAGCAGCCCUGAAAAAAACAAAACAAAACAAAAUACAAUCUUCUCUGUGACCCUCUACUUCAUUUUCUGUUUCAUCAUCAUUAAAUGGGUUUUUAUUAACAUGUAAAUAAAUAAAUAAGUGUCCUCAUUUAAAAUUAUUUAUUGGUAAGCUACUGGUAAAGCUUCUAGAAGUGGUAGAUCUCUGGGAAAGUUUUAUCUAGAAGAAUGCCUUCUCUAAAAUGCAUCAUAAUCACCAGUGACAUUUUUUUCAAGAUAAAAACUGAUGGUUGAUGACCCAUGUAUGUUGUAAGGCAAUUAUCUGUGAUAUUAAAAAAUAAUAAUAAUAAGGUCUUUGUACCAGAGAAUGCAUAACCUUGAGAAUUAGCUUUGGAUGUCCUGUCCAACAGAGUGGUCAUUGGCCAGAUGGAGGAGUGAAUAUCCACAAUGUUACUAGUCUGAAUUGAGAUGUUCUGACUAUGUGAAUAUACAAGUAGCUACUAGGAAAGUCAACAUCCUGUAUGUGACGUGCACUGUGUUUCUGUUAGACAGUGCUGCUUAGUGCUUCCAACCUUUGCUUAUGUGCUUGUGAUGGUUUUGCAAGUCACUUAACUUCACUGGGCUCCAGUUGUCUUAAGUAUAACACAGGGAGUUAGACACAUGUCCUCUAAAGUCCCUCUUAACUCAGAAAUUUUAUAAGGGUUUAUUGCUAAAAUGGAAUGGGGACUAAUGAAUUCCGGACAUGAAAGCCAGGAGGUGAUACCAUCAGAUGGCUCACCGCCAUCAUGCUGAACUUUCCAUCACCCUCGUCCAGACAGCUUUCCCAAAUGCUGUGCUCACCAGUCACCAGUGCACGUCCUGUGGAGAAGGCUUUACAAUUACUACAUCAAUUCCCACACACUGAAAUCAGGAUUAUUACCCUGUUUCACAGACUAGGGAAGAAGUUUGAAGAGAUGAGGUGACUUUGAAAGGCCUCAGAGCCAGGCCUUUGGAGGAGCCAGGAUUUGGAGGAGUCUUGAUACACAUGCCUCUGAAUCCAGCACCUGAACUUUUCAUCAGUGUGCUCCACU
ensembl:lncRNA